rnacentral:rRNA from 1 species
GACGAACGCUGGCGGCGUGCUUAACACAUGCAAGUCGAACGGAAAGGCCCUGCUUUUGUGGGGUGCUCGAGUGGCGAACGGGUGAGUAACACGUGAGUAACCUGCCCUUGACUUUGGGAUAACUUCAGGAAACUGGGGCUAAUACCGGAUAGGAGCUCCUGCUGCAUGGUGGGGGUUGGAAAGUUUCGGCGGUUGGGGAUGGACUCGCGGCUUAUCCGCUUGUUGGUGGGGUAGUGGCUUACCAAGGCUUUGACGGGUAGCCGGCCUGGGAGGGUGGCCGGGCACAUUGGGACUGAGGUACGGCGCAGACGCGUACGGGAGGCAGCGGGGGGGAAUAUUGCGCAGUGGGCGGGAGCCUGAGGCAGCGGCGCCGCGUGCGGGAUGACGGCCUUCGGGUUGUGAACCGCUUUCGCCGGUGACGAAGCGUGAGUGACGGUAAUGGGUAAGGAAGCACCGGCUAACUACGUG